UUUUCUCUCUUCCUUCCUCUUUUAAUAAAUAAAUAAAUACAUGAAUGAAUUCAUUUAUAUAUUCAUCCAUUUAUUAUUAUUUUUUUCCCAUUCCCCUUAAAUAUGUAUCUUUAAAAAAACACAGGUUUUUUUUUCUCUCCCACGGGCACGUGCUAUGUGCAUCAUUUUUUCUAUCUUUUUUAUUUUACUGUUUAUUUUCGAUUUUAUUUGAUUUCUUCUACUUUUUUUCCUCCUGUAUUUAUGCGUUUAUUUUUCUUUCUCUUCCUUUUUUUCUCCCCUUCCUCUGUUUCUCUCUUCUCUUAGGGUUGGCUUUGGAUUUAACAGUCCAUUAACUGUAACUCUAUAUGUUUUUACCGCGUCCUUAUUUCCCUCUCAAGAGGGAGAGUGGAUGCAGUUGGGAAAAAAAGACAUGUUGCUAACUCCCUGAACUCUGGACUCCAGGUGUAAGGUUUUGCAGUUAAUGACCAUAAACAUGUCGGUCGUUUCGGGCUGAAUGAUAAUUUCCUGUUUACGAGCACUGGUUAACGCAGGUGCUGUGUACAUGCCUGAGGAAGGUCUGGUGAAUUCCCCGUGCUCGAUGAAUCGAUGCUGUAAUCAGAAGCAACCCUGCGGUGGGACGGGAAAAACUUCUGCUGUAAAGAAAGAACAGCAGAGUGAAGUCAGUGACUUGCCUUUCUACAUGACAUUAACCAAAUGAACAAAAUCUGUGUGGGUCUUCAAUACGCCUGCGACAUCAUCAGCGUAACAGUUCUGUAAUUAAACAUGGCUGUCACAGCGAGCUGUUACGUUUAGAAAGACGCAGAAUGUUUGCUACAUCAUCAUCACUUCAAACGUGUUUUCACUGCUGAUCUAAUGCCACGCUAGAACCUCACCCUGUCAGCUGACCGACAAAAUAACUCAAUAACACCUCUUGUUUUCUGUGAGAAAGUGUGUUAGGGUGUCUUGUGAAAGCGUGUCAGAGUGUGUCGUGUGAAAGCGUGUCAGAGUGUGUCGUGUGAGAGUGUGCUGUGUGAAAGUGUGUCGUGUGAAAGUGUGUCAGUGUGUCGUGGUGAAAGUGUGUCGUGCGAUAGUGUGACAGAGUGUGUCGUGUGAAAGUGUGCUGUGUGAAAGUGUGCUGUGUGAAAGUGUGUCGUGUGAAAGUGUGUCAGUGUGUCGUGUGAGAGUGUGCUGUGUGAAAGUGUGUCGUGUGAAAGUGUGUCAGUGUGUCGUGUGAAAGUGUGUCGUGUGAAAGCGUGUCAGAGUGUGUCGUGUGAAAGUGUGCUGUGUGAAAGUGUGUCGUAUGAAAGUGUGACAAAGUGUGUCGUGUGAAAGUGUGCUUGUGAAAGUGUGUCGUAUGAAGUUGUGACAGAGUGUGUCAUAUGAAAGUGUGUCGUGUGAAAGCGUCAGUGUGUCAUGUGAAAGUGUGUCGUGCGAUAGUGUGACAGAGUGUGUCGUGUGAAAGUGUGCUGUGUGAAAGUGUGUCGUAUGAAAGUGUGACAGAGUGUGUCAUAUGAAAGUGUGUCGUGUGAAAGCGUCAGUGUGUCAUGUGAAAGUGUGUCACGUGAAAGCGUGUCAGAGUGUGUCGUGUGAAAGUGUGCUGUGUGAAAGUGUGUCGUAUGAAAGUGUGACAGAGUGUGUCAUAUGAAAGUGUGUCGUGUGAAAGCAUGUCAGAGUGUGUCAUGUGAAAGUGUGUCACGUGAAAGCGUUGUCACAGUGUGUCGUGUGUGAAAGUGUGCUGUGUUGAAAGUGUGUCGUAUGAAAGUGUGACAGAGUGUGUCGUGUGAAAGUGUGUCGUGUGAAAGCGUCAGUGUGUCAUGUGAAAGUGUGUCGUAUGAAAGUGUGACAGAGUGUGUCGUGUGAAAGUGUGCUGUGUGAAACUGUCCUGUGUGAAAGUGUGUCGUGUGAAGUGUGACAGAGUGUGCUGUUUGAAGCGUGUCAGAGCAUGUCGUGUGAAAGUGUGUUAGCGUGUGCCGUGUGAAAGUCUCCUAGAGUGCGUUGUGUGAAAGUGUGUUAGAGAGUCACGCACACUCGCGGCCUGGCUCUGACAGAGCCCCUGUGUGGUUUAUUUAUGUUACGCUGUGAUCUUAAACGCUCGAUGUUCCACCCAGCUGUUUGAGUGUAUACAGAUGUUACGAUGAGAU
ensembl:lncRNA